UCUCAUCUUCCACCUCUCAUCUUCUUUCUUCUAUUCAAGUUAUAACAAGAAAAAAGCAAAAAAAUGGUAGCAUACAUAGAGGAUUUGAAUCCGACAACAGACAGGUUAAGUGUUGCUGUUAAAGUACUGAGGAUGUGGAUACCCCAAAUCAUUUUAAGUCAGCCUAUCUACAUAUGUUUGAUAUUGGUUGAUGAGAAGGGAAAAAUAAUUGAAGCUAAACUCCGAAGUCGGUUUUACUUUUGAAGGUUCAGAGACGUGUUGCAAGAAGGACAAUGGUUUCUUCUUUACAAGUUUCAAGUUAUUGAAAAUCAGCAUACUUUUAGGAACUGUAACAAUUCUUUCCAAACAUUGAUCACAAUGCAAACUUGCAUCACUCCAAUCCCUCCAAGAUGUCCAGACAACUUUCUUCAUCUAACAGAUGCAUUAUCACUUGAAAAUGCUACAGAGGAUGAGAGAAACUGCUGUGCUGGUAAAUUUUUUCAAAUCUUACUGUUUAUCUUACAGUUAUAUCUUUAUUACCAAUUUAUUGUUUCAUUUUCUAAAAAAACUUUCGACAGAAACUGAUAAUGAUUGACAUAUGCAUGCCAUUUCAAAAUUGAAUAGCAUUGAAUAAAACCAAUGCGUGCCAUUUAUAAAACAGUAAGAUUUCGAUUCCCAUUGUUUUACUUUGAAAUUUUCCCUACCUAAAUUUAUUACAUUAAGAUUUGAUAUGAUAAUUGGUAAACGAAUAUUGACCCAAGAUAUCAGAGAAUAUAUGCGGUUAUUAAUAAUUUUAGAAUAUUCUUAUUUAUUCUUUAUUAACAAAUCGUCGUAAUUUUCUCUUUAUUAAAAAAUCGUCGUAACGAUUCGUAAACGACGUAUAUUGUCUAUAAAAGGAAGCAAUAUAUGACAUUCCAUAACCUACCUUCUAUGCUUCCAAGGAUUCUUUACGCAAAAAAAUCAAAAACAUCAUUCACAGAAGGUUCCACAAUUCAACUAAUCAUUUGUGAUGUCUUUGUGACAAAAUUGAAACAACUAUCACUCCGGAUCUGUUCGAAAUUUUCAACAAUCAAAUGGCUGAAAAUGAUUGGAAGAUUGUUUCCAAUUUCUCUGUCUGUUAUAAUGAUAGACGUCUGAAGCACACUGAAUGUGAUCACAAGAUUAUCUUCAUCAAUGACACCAUCGUGGAAAAUUCAGAAGUGAUUUCCAACAAUCACUUCUUUACUUUCGAAACUAUUGACAGAGUCUUUGAUGGAUAUCAUGCUGUAACACAACGCCCAGUAGACAUCAUGGGUGAAGUCGUCAAUGUCGAACCAAUGAUCCAUGCACAUGAUCUAAAUGUGGAGGUUCCAUAUGAGAUUAUGAGGAUUUUACGUUUUAUGCUAAGAGAUUUGAGUGGUAUGGAGAUACAGUGUGUGGCAUAUAAUGAGACAGCCAGCUUUUUUUACCAACAAUUGGUUUGCAACAAGAUGUUAUCAUGUUGUUGCAGUCUUGCAAUUUUGGCAUGCCAAGUACCCAAGUUCCGUUAAUUAAAUUUGACUUUGUAUAAUUGUUAUUAUACAUUGUUAUGGAGAGUAUUAUUAAUGACUAUCAUA